rnacentral:rRNA from 1 species
AAGCCCCAGUGAACGGCGGCCGUAACUAUAACGGUCCUAAGGUAGCGAAAUUCCUUGUCAGGUAAGUUCUGACCCGCACGAAAGGCGUAAUGAUCUGGGAGCUGUCUCAACCAUAGACUCGGUGAAAUCUUAAUACCUGUGAAAAUGCAGGUUACCCGCAGCAGGACGGAAAGACCCCAUGGAGCUUUACUGUAGGUUGAUAUUGGAAUCAGAUGUUAGUUGUAGAGGAUAGGUGGUAGACUAUGAUGUAUAGACGCUAGUUUAUACGGAGUCGCCCUUGGAAUACCACCCUUCUGAUAUUUGAUUUCUAACUCGCACCCAUUAUCUGGGUGGAGGACAGUGUCUGCUGGGCAGUUUGACUGGGGCGGUCGCCUCCUAAAAAGUAACGGAGGCGCCCAAAGGUUCCCUCAGAAUGGUUGGAAAUCAUUCAAAGAGUGUAAUGGUAUAAGGGAGCUUGACUGUGAGACUUACAAGUCGAGCAGGUACGAAAGUAGGGCAUAGUGAUCAGGCGGUAGAGUAUGGAAUUGCCGUCGCUUAACGGAUAAAAGUUACCCUGGGGAUAACAGGCUGAUACCACCCAAUAGUUCACAUAGACGGUGGUGAUUGGCACCUCGAUGUCGGCUCGUCACAUCCUGGAGGUGGAUUCGCUUCCAAGGGUUAGGCUGUUCGCCUAUUAAAGUGGCACGCGAGCUGGGUUCAGAACGUCGUGAGACAGUUCGGUCCCUAUCCGCUGUGGGCGUAGGAAAAUUGAGGAGAGCUGUUCCUAGUACGAGAGGACCGGAAUGGACUGACCAAUGGUGUAUCUGUUGUAACGCCAGUUGCAGUGCAGAGUAGCUAUGUCGGGAAGGGAUAACCGCUGAAAGCAUCUAAGCGGGAAGCCCACUUCAAGAUGAGUUUUCCCAUAUGUAUAUAGUAAGAACCGUUGUAGACUACAACGUUGAUAGGCUAGAGGUGGAAGCGUAGUGAUACGUUGAGCUGACUAGUACUAAUAGUUCGAGGAUUUAAUCAUAUAA